rnacentral:lncRNA from 10 species
AAACCAUAUCAGUAACCAUAUGAUAUUUAAAAUCUUGAGAUCAAUUGUGUCGAGUAAAACAAAUUAAAUCAUGCCAGAUAAAAAUUAUGAAUUUUUCCAUAAAAGCAUCAUCUUCAGGAAGGACCUCAGGAGGGUGUUCUGCCAUCAUCACGUUAUGAAAAGCAUUUGAAAGAAAUGCUGACUGUUGUUGUUGACAAGGAGGAGGGGAUCCUUCCUGAGGAUGGUAUAACUUCGCGGGAGCCCUCCCAGAAAGACUCCUGUGUUAUCUCCAAUAACAGUACUACCAUUCAGGAUGGCAGAGGAACCUAGAGAAGAGGAGAUGAGAAAUACACCUUCACCAGGAUACUCUAGUUUUACUAGCUCAGCAAAUAAUAAAAUCCUUCACCAGCC